GUGCAUUCGGGAUCCGUGAGACAGGUGCUGCAUGGCUGUCGUCAGCUCGUGUUGUGAAAUGUUGGGUUAAGUCCCGCAACGAGCGCAACCCUUAUCCUUUGUUGCCAGCGUCAGGCCGGGAACUCAAAGGAGACUGCCAGUGAUAAACUGGAGGAAGGUGGGGAUGACGUCAAGUCAUCAUGGCCCUUACGACCAGGGCUACACACGUGCUACAAUGGCGCAUACAAAGAGAAGCGACCUCGCGAGAGCAGCCGGACCUCAUAAAGUGCGUCGUAGUCCGGAUUUGAAGUCUGCAACUCGACUCCAUGAAGUCGGGAAUCGCUAGUAAUCGUGGGAUCAGAAUGCCACGGUGAAUACGUUCCCGG
rnacentral:rRNA from 1 species